rnacentral:rRNA from 1 species
AGAGUUUGAUCCUGGCUCAGAAUCAACGCUGGCGGCGUGCCUAAUACAUGCAAGUCGAACGCGAAAGCCCCGCAAGGGGCAAGUAGAGUGGCAAACGGGUGAGUAACGCGUGGGCGACCUACCUUCGAGUGGGGGAUAACCUUCCGAAAGGAGGGCUAAUACCGCAUGACAUCCCGUGUUUGGAUACACGGACAUCAAAGUCGGGGAUCGCAAGACCUGACGCUUGGAGAGGGGCCCGCGUCCGAUUAGCUAGUUGGUGGGGUAAUGGCCCACCAAGGCUUCGAUCGGUAUCCGGCCUGAGAGGGCGGACGGACACACUGGGACUGAGACACGGCCCAGACUCCUACGGGAGGCAGCAGUAGGGAAUUGUUCGCAAUGGGCGCAAGCCUGACGACGCAACGCCGCGUGGAGGAUGAAGACUUUCGGGUCGUAAACUCCUUUCGAUCGAGAUGAAUACGCACCGGCCUAAUAUGCCGGUGCGCUGACAGUAUCGGGAGAAGAAGCCCCGGCUAACUCCGUGCCAGCAGCCGCGGUAAUACGGGGGGGGCAAGCGUUGUUCGGAAUUACUGGGCGUAAAGGGUUCGUAGGUGGCCGGCUAAGUCAGACGUGAAAUCCCUCAGCUCAACUGGGGAACUGCGUCUGAGACUGGUCGGCUUGAGUGCAGGAGAGGAACGCGGAAUUCCAGGUGUAGCGGUGAAAUGCGUAGAUAUCUGGAGGAACACCGGUGGCGAAGGCGGCGUUCUGGACUGUUACUGACACUGAGGAACGAAAGCCAGGGGAGCAAACGGGAUUAGAUACCC